GUAACUUGCAGGACUCUUAAUGGAUACCCUACUCCACUCAUUCAUUGGUACAUCGAAUCGAGAAACGUGACAGAUGAAUCAUCUCUGCGUUCUUCGCUGAAUUCUGCUUAUCGCUAUGAUACUACAAGUACACUGUCACUUAUACCAUCGAGGUUUGAUCAUGGGAAACUUUUGAUUUGCCAGGCAAUUCAACCUAAAAUAUCCGGAAGGCGGUCAGUGAAUGACAGCAUGGUUCUAAACGUAUUAUCUAUUCCUGAUCCAACUUCUCGGCUCAUCGUCGACCAGAACAAGACGACAUCUUAAACCAUCUUUGUUGACAAAGAACAAGGACAAGUUAAAGCUCAACAAAUAGUUGAAUCGGACACCAUGCAUUUGAGGUGUCUAUCCAGACAGACUCUAUUCCAGUCAUCGGCGAAGAUUUCACCCUGGUCUGUUUGUUCACACCUGAAACAAGAUAUAAGCAAUUGGUCUGGAACAAGGGUGAAGACAUCCAAGUGGCAUCCCAUUCUUGUUGGAGGUCCCUUUACUACUGUCCUGUGAUUUCCAUUUCAUUUCCAUUAAAAUUCAGCCUUAAAACCGACAAUUCCAGCGGAAAUUUAACAAUAAAAAAUCUGAACGAGGACGAUAUUAGCGAUUACCACUGUUCAUUAAGCAGUGAGGAGAUUUCAGGAUCCGCUAUCAAGCAAGUGAAGCCUCUCCCACCAGAUCCACCGAAUAGAAUAUUGAUCACUGCUGGAAGAAAGACUCUUUACUGCUUCAACAACAUUUCUAUAACGGCCGGAAAACAACAUGACAUCACAUGCGAAUCAAUGUGGGCUAGGCCUCCAGCAAUACUAGAAUGGCGUGUGCCACCUGAUGUGGCCGUUGUCCAUCAGGAUCAGUCUGAUGUCAUUCAAGGCAACUUCUACACCUCCCGGAAAGUUCUGAGAUUCACACCCUCCAGGAACAAUCACGAACAGAUUCUCAGCUGCAUCGCAUCACAUCCAGAACUAGAAAAGGAGCUUAAGGACGUUCUACAUUUAUGUUUGUGCGCAUUAUGAUCUGCGCAUAGUUUACACUCUGCGCGCUGACGUCACAAUGGAUGAACAG